AGGAGAAUGCUGGGACCUGGAUUUUCACACCAUGAAACUGGUAACAGUUUUGACUUCAAUGUCUUGAAAAGCUCCUGGAGUCAUUUGGCUUGGAGAAAACUCUCUGAUGUUCGAUCUUCCAACAAGCCCUGUGUUGACUCACCUUCGUUUCUCACGGUUCCAUUUCUAUCUUGUCCUGGCUUAUGCAAUUACUGCCCCUUGGUUUGACAACACCAUCUACAACUGUAGUGAGCCCCUAUACUCGUGUUAUUUCCCUUCCAGGAAGCCAGUUCUGAAGACACACUCUCCCCACGAGGCUGGCACAGUCUCUCUACAGGAACCAUUUGUUUGGCUGCCUCUGCCUCCUGCUGCUGAAGCAACUGCUCAACCUCCACCUCAAGUUCCAAAGCCUCCUCGUCAGCCUGCACAUCCAGCUGCUGCA